AAAAUAUUUAGUAAGAAAUAUUUAAUUAUUUUAUUUUUUAAUUUUAUAUUUAUUUUUUUAAAAAAAAAUAAAAUAAAAUAAAUAUUAUACUAUUUUCUUCUCCAAAAAAAGAAUCACCCCUCAGCUUCAAAUUUUGAAUAAUGUUUUUUUGGAAUGUUUGGUUUGCAUGCAGUUGAAAAUAUACGCAUUUAUUAAAUUUUUGUUUGAUUUAGUAUAGUCAGGCCCAAUUGCUAUAGUUGCAUCUUUACGUGAAUGCUCAACCGGAGCAGUAAAUACUGCAACCAAAUUAGCUGUAGUACCAUCUGCAGUAAUUGUACUGGAGUCGGCUCACCUAUUAAAAAAUAAAUAAAGUAUGGUUUUUUUUUCAUACGUUUUUAUUUUAAAAUUUUUUUUUCAAGAAUAUCUAUUCAUAAAAUCUAUUAGGAUUUAAUAAUGUCGGUUAGAAUUCAAUAAAUUUUUUUUACAUGCUUCUAUUUUUUUCUCCCAAUUUGCUAGUUCAGUAAUGUCUUAGUUUUUGUUUUGGUCAAAUCUAUAAUAUAUUUGCAUUUAAAAUUCAUUAAAUUUAUACAUAAUUUUAUAAUAUAUAAAUUAUAAAAUUGGGUUAGCAUCCCUGCAAAGUUCAACUUUAAUAAGUUAUUUCUACAAAAGUCCUAAUAUAUUCAGAUAUGUCCCUCUAGUUAACAUUCGUUAGAAAACUGUUUAAUUUUUAACAGUAGAUUCGUGAAAUGACAUUUUUGCCCUCAUAAAUAUGUCCCUUCAAAACUUCAACUGAUAUACAUUUGCAGAAAUGCCCUCACAAAUCUCCAUUUUUUUCUUUCUCUACCUUUUCGGGCUGCGGGGGGUAGAUGAUGGUGGCGACGGCGCAGAGUUUGUCAGAGUUGCAGUCGACGAGGACAAGACUAAGGCCCGUAGCGACAAGGCGGAGGGUGAAGUGCGACCGAUUCGAACAAAGAGGAGGAAAAGGAAAAGAAAAAAAAAAGAAGAAGGAAGGAAGAGGAGAAAGAAGAAGAAGAAUAGGAAGAGGAAGAGGAAGAAUAUGAAAGGUAAAAUUAUUAAUUUACCUUAUUAAUUAGUUAUGGUUAAAUAUUUUAACUGUGGUUAACUAAAUUUUUUUAACGGAUCCUAACGGUAGGGACAUAUCUGAAUAUAUUAAGAUUUUUGCUGGGAUAACUUAUGAAAGUUGAACUUUGCAGGAACAUAUCUGUAAUUCACCAAAUGUGCAAGAACCUAUAUGCAAUUAACCUUAAAUUAUAUAUAAAUAUAAAAGUGUUAAUUAAUAAUUAAAAAAAUUCAUAAUUAUGUUAUAUUCAGAAGAAGUAAUCUCAAAUUUCUAUCUAAAAAUUGACAAAAUUUACAAACACAAAUCUCUACUGCAACCUACCAAACAAAAAAAAUAUAACUGUAGCAGUUGCAAUUGUAUAAAACCAAAUAGACUAGACAUAAUUAUAACUAUAACAUUUGCAACGGUAUAUAUUUCCAACUAUACUGUUUUUAAAACUACAUCCAACUAAAUAGCCCCUUAGUAAAGUUCAUUUUACAAAAAAAAAAGUUAAUAUAAAAAAAAGCUAGACUCGUACACUUUUGAAAGCACGUAAAUUUUCGUACUUAUAAAUUAUUUUUGAUGAUAAAACAUUCCAUUCAACGAUCGACUCUGUUAUAUAGGAUCGUCACCAUUAACCUUAAAAUGAAUGACUAAAAAUAAAACUUUUAUAAAAAAUAAUGAUAAAAGACUCCAAUUUCAAAUCAAAAAUAUUGUUCUUACUCCUAAUGUUAAGUAAAAUUUUUUAUUAAAAUUUUAUAUAAUUUAAAUUUUUUUACACGGUAAAACUUACAAACAUACAACAUCAAGUACAAAAUCCUCCGUGUUUUUUAAAGUGUAGAAGACGUAUUCCAUAAAAAAUUCACCACGCGUUAGUUUUUAUUUGGGCUGAGAAGUCGUCAUUUUUUUUUUUUAUUGAUUUAAACUUAAUUAAGUUUAGUUUUGUUAAAUAAAAUGUAACAUUAAAAAAAAUAAUUAUUAAUUUAAUAUAAAUAAAUAGUUUGUCUUUAAAAAUUUUAAGCUAUUAAAAUAUGUGGUUAAUAUUUAUAUUCAUAUUCAUCACUUCUUAUAUUUUGAUAUCAAAUUUUUUGACAAUUCAAAGACAAAAAUUUUAAUCAGACCGAAGAAAAUAAAAUAAUACUUGGAACUCAAAACAUCUUAUCAUGACACUAUAUGAAAUAUUAUCGAUUGAUUUUUAAAUACUCUCUAGCUAGCUAAUUUUUUUUAAAAUAUAUGGGACAAAAAUUGCCUAAAUUUUCAUUAUAUUUUUUUUCUAAAAAAGAUAAUGGCCAUGUGCGGAUUUUCUGAAGAAAAAAAAAAAAGUCUACAUUAUAAUAUUUAUACCAUAUCAUAUCUUUUUAUUUGAGUAAAAAACAUAAUGAAUAAGACGGAUAAAUCUAAAGAGAUAAAGUGAUUGAUUAAAAAUACCACAUCACCCAGCAAUAUAACUAAUAUAUUCUUUUUUUCUUUUUUUUUUUCUUUUUUUUUUUUGAAGAAGAGAGAAAUAUUAAUAGCAUUUUUUUUUGUCCCUUUUUAUUUUUCAUAUACUAAUUUUUAAUAAACGAAUUUUAUUUUUAUCCGUUUAAAAUAUGUGUGAUGAUACGAUAUGAUGGUAUGGGUAUGCCCAUCGCUGUCUGUCGUGUUGGUGUUAUCCACUCCCUCAGUCGGGCGUCGCUGUCAGGGGUGAAGAAGAUCUACAAACCCCAGCGGCGUUCCUGGGUCCCACCCUUUUGCAGUGGAGUAAUAAUUCAAUUAUUUUCCGCGCCUGGUGCAUCCUUAUUACCCUGCGCACCGCAUUCAUCCACUGACCAAAUAGUUAUUAAAUGAUUUACUUACUAUUAUAAUAAGUAUCGAUUAAUUAUCAAACAACUAUUUUAUAUUAUUAUAAUAAUAUAAUAUUAGAAUAGAAGAUUUUUAAGUUCAAAUAGUAAGCUUUUUUUUUUUUUUUUUUUUUUUACCUAACAUCAUUUUUUUUGGCGUGGUUAUAAAUUGUAUAUACCUGUUGAUACAACUUUUUUUUAGAAAUAAAUAGCACGCUACCUAUUUUGUUUAUUUCAUAUAGAAAUAAACUUAGCUGGAAAUGUGAAUUAACUAGAAUUCGAACUUGAAAUCUCGGAUACCAACCACUAAGUCUUUUGCCAUUUACUUUAGGGAUGGUCAGUUUAAAUAGUAAGUUUUGAACUUAUAAAAUGUUCAAAACUCAGACGUAGUAGUACGCCGUUAAAAAUAUAUUAUCUUAGAAACCGAUCAGCUUACAAAAUAAGACUUUUACUUGACUCUACAAGAAAUUGAUAAUCGCACAGCAUGAAAAAAGUAUUUUUAACCACAACGAUCUCAAACUAGGCCUAAAUUGGUUUUUUUUUUCUUUUUUUUUUUUGAGAAAAUCUUUGAUGAGAUUUUAGCAUGUGUUUUACGUGAUAUAGUCAUACACUGGGUGUAGGUAAUGAUUUCCGAUGGGAUGAGAUACAUAGCUGUGCACGCAACAGGGAGCAUCCCAAGCCCGAGGUGUUAAUAAAGGAAAAUUGGGUGCACAGAUGGCCAUGAAAGUGGGAAGGAGCAUGUCCAUAAACAGGAUCCGAAGAUAUUUCGUAGUAAUUGUGGGCUCCAUUUCGCUAUCCAUUACUGGAUAAAACAGAAUAAAAUGAGAACAAAGUCACUUACAAACUGGUGGUAACCGAAGAUAUUUAGCACAGAUGGCCAAGAACUUAUUCGACGGUAGAUAUCUGAUAUCUUAAAUUCAAAAUCUAAUUAUUUUAUAAUUUAAAUUGUAUUUUAAUUUUGAAAAAAAAAAAUUAAAUGAAACAGAGAAUUUAAAUUUAGGACUCAGUGUGUCCCUCGACUUAGGUGUAAGAAUAGAAAUAUUUCUAAAUACUUUGAAGUACUUACGUUUAUCAAAUUGGAUAAGAGGGGUGAAAUUAUCGAAUCCCUUCUCAAAUGUUUAUCCCAGAGUUUUAGUUCCCUAGAGCAAGUGGCAAAGGACCCGAGGUCCCAAGUUCGAAUUCUAGUUGAUUCAUAUUUACAGAAAAGUUUAUUUCUAAAUGAAAUAAACGAAGCGAAUAGCGUGUUACCUAUCUCUAAAAAAAAAAGAAAAAAAAAGAAGGAUUUGGAAGAUCCUCAAACCUAAAGAAGCACUAGCAACAAUUGCUUUUCGAACAUCAAAGUCCCAAUAGUUUCCAGUAACUUCUAUUCGGAAUUUCUUUCUCUUGAUCUUGUGAUAUUUCUUUCUAUUCGUCAUACGAUAGCAACUAAUAAGAAAUUGAGCACCCAGUGCAGCUUUCAAAGAGUCUAUUCAAUUUUCCCAUAUAUUCAAUGACUUGGACACACGGAUAACAUGGUAUUUAGUCAAGGAUUGUGCAAAUAUCCUCUAAGGUAUCGUUUGAUUUGGGAAUAAAUAAAAAGUGUCUAUUUCGGGGAUAGAUAUAAAUUGAGGUAUAAGCGGGGAUUAAAUUAAUUUUGCGUUUGGAUGAAAAUUAGGUUAUUCUUGGGAAUAAAAAAAAAAGCUUUUGUAUAGGUAAGAUAGAAUAAGAAGAAUAGUGAGUUUUAUAAAAAAAAAAAUAAUGUAUUAUCCUCUUAUUAUAUUUAAAUUUAAAUUUUUAAAUUUUUAAAUUAUAUUUUUAAAUUUAAAAUUUCAACUUUGAAAUUUCAAAAGUUGAAAUUAAAAUUUUAAAUUUUAAAUCUCAAAAUUUCAAUUCAAAAUUUUAAAUUUUAAAUCUCAAACUUUAAAUUUAAGAUCAAAUUUAAAUUUGAAAAAUAUAAAAUAUUAAAUUUCAAAAUAUCAAAAUUUGAAUUUUAAAUUUUAAAUUUUAAAUUUUAAUUUUGAGAUUACAAAUUAAAAAUUUUUAAAUUUAAAUUUNAUGUAUUAAUAUAAUAUAAUUAAUAAUUUUAUAAUAAAAAUAAUGUAUUAUAAUAUACAAUAUAUUAUAUUUAUAUAAUUUAGUUUUAAUUCAACUUAUAAUUUUAAUUUUGUAAUUAAACAUUGUAAUAGUACUAUUCCAUCAAAAUGGUGAAAAUUCCCGCUUAUCCCCUUACCAAACAGAUCCUAGAAGUUUUCAAAACAUUAAAAAACAAUCGCCUUACAUAAUUUAAUAUGAAAACAAAACAUGUGAGUCUGAGUUCGAAUCACACCAAAUUCCUAGUUUAGAUUAAUUUUCUUCAUUUAGUUCAAGUGUGUAUUUUAUAGACUUUGCUCACAAAUAUGGGGACAUGGAAAAAAUGUAUUUAGUUUAAGACAUUAGAUCUUUAUAUAUACCGGUUCUACCAAGGCUAGAAUGAAUAUAUGAUGUUGAAGUUCCGAGGGUCCACUAAAAAGCAUAGAAGAAGAUAAGAUUUACAUGAUAUAGAUCUCAACUCUAGUAGGGGUUCAAUAUUAAGCUAUACUUAGAUACUUCAAUACCCCACCUUGAGUCUAUAUAUAGAACCCUUCAACCACUUUUUUAAAGAUGAUAAUAAAGCACUCCAUCUCUUAUAAAAAAAGGGCAAGAAAAAAAUCUAGAUGUAGGUCCUCUAAUAGUCUAUUGGUAAUGGAUUAGGUUUGUACUGGUUUUGUGAAAAUUGAGAUACAAAGAUGCUACAAAUAUAUAAAAUAAAUAAUUGAGCAUCUAUUUAUGACGGCCAACCUAUUUUUGUAAAUGUAGGAAGUUGAAUUCAUGCCUAUAUUUGUUUCUGUAACCGAUGUCGUGAGAUUACCGAAACUGGCACUCACAAUUGUACGAAAAUCAAUCUUUUGACUUCAACCAGGUGGGAGGCGAAAUCUGAUUUGUAAAACUUAUAAAUUUUUCUCAAAUUUUUUGCUUCUAAAUAGUCUUUUGCGAUCUAAUUAUGAUGUUGUACCUUUUAUGGCAUGAGCUAAUAAACUUAGCCUGAAGAGGACAAGGAUAAAAAUGUAUGGAUCUCAUUUAGAAUAUAUAUAUAAAAAAAAACAAUUUGCCCCUCCACAGUUUAGUUUAUUUUUACCGUGCCAUUUUGUGGUCCAAAAAUUUGUAUUUAACUAUCCAAUAAUUUUAUCCCUAUUUUUAUUUAAAAAAUCUACUAUCAAAUAGUAUUUCAAAGCAUUUUUUUUCAUAACCUUAGAAAAAUUAAAUAUAAUUUUUAGAACCACAUGAUGAGAAAGUUUAAAUGAGCUAAACCAUAGGAGGGCAAAUUGAAGUUUACCCAAAAAAAUGCAUGGACCUCGCAAAAUAGGUACCUAAAGUUUACAUAUUUUGAUUUUACUAUGUAAGCUUAUAAUAUAUUUGAUUCAGUAUUUCCCCAUCAGAAUUUAAAGAGAUAUUUUUUA
rnacentral:lncRNA from 1 species